rnacentral:rRNA from 1 species
GACAGAGGUGCCAAGCGUUAGGCGGAAUUACUGGGCGUAAAGCGCACGUAGGCGGAUAUUUAAGUCGGGGGUGAAAUCCCGGGGCUCAACCCCGGAACUGCCUUCGAUACUGGGUAUCUUGAGUUCGGAAGAGGUGAGUGGAAUUGCGAGUGUAGAGGUGAAAUUCGUAGAUAUUCGCAGGAACACCAGUGGCGAAGGCGGCUCACUGGUCCGAUACUGACGCUGAGGUGCGAAAGCGUGGGGAGCAAACAGG